GAGAGUGGAAAGACCACCUCACACUAUCCUACUGCAGAACUUUUAGCUUUCUGUGUCAAGCAUUUGCCUUUGACACCAGAUCUUGACAACCCCACUCCUAGCUGUACUUAUGGCAUCCAAAGAUCUGAGACUGCUUCAUGAUACUGAAUAAUGAAAAACAUUUUCUGGUACCUUAAAGAAGUGUUUUCAUGGUAAUUAUAAAGAGAUGACCUGUUCACAAAGCAGGGCAUCAGGGCAGGUGAAAAUGUUGCAAAACAGACUUUGAAAAUGGAAGUCUCCAGACCACAUCUGAAAUACAUGAAGUAUUUUUUCCAGAAAGCACUCUGUCAGUCACUGGUGCUGGUAGCAGAACUCUGCCAGCCAAGGAGAUCAGGAUACAAUUUUAUGAUGGGUCUGCACUGCCCAUCUCACAGAAGCUUUUGAAAAAAAAAAAAAAAUGCUAUUCAGGGUGUUUUGACCCUGAACUGUCUUGGGCACAGCAAGAAGGAGCACCUGGAGUAGGAGGCAAAAGGCAGGCGAAGAAAUGUCUGCUGUGAGCUCCCUCAAUCAGCCUGGGCGGCCCAAAAUGAAGGAAAGCCCUCACCUGCCUUUGAGGAAGGAAGGCAAAAAUACAGGUCUCUGACAGAAAUAGAAGCUCUUGACUAUUGCCAGGAAUUUUGCAUCGUUUGCUGACUGACAUGAUGUCUGCUGAGUGUUUGCCCGUGGGCCUUAGCUCCAGGAUUUCUCCCCCACUCAGAGACAACAGCUCCCAAGCAGCUGCACCAUUCACCUCUGUGCAGGCACAGGCAGUCCAGGAGAGGGAUGCCAGGACACCCAGCCCCUGUUUUGGACAAAAAAGGGACCAGCAGGCAACAUCUAAGUCAGGCAGGGCUCAGGAGGUGAGGCAGGAUCAUCAGAUCAGACUUGGAAAGCCUAUGCAGGAUGCCUAUGGAGCAAACACCAUGCCUGAUGUUCCCAGUGUGGAUGUGUUUAGAAUGUCUUACGGCUCUGAACUUAAAAGUAUUUUAAAGGGAUUGCAUUAUAUAUCCUUUCUAGUACUUUAUGAAGCUGUUUAUAGUAGUUGAAUGCCUGGAGUUUGAGAUUAAAAAACCCCAAAGCAAUUCUAGAUGUAGCCUUUAUUUUCUUCAGUCUUGUGGUUCUGUGUGAGAUGGAUAACACAGAGUUAGCCAUAUUACUACUUCAUACUGGCAUAUUCUAUUGAAAAUGAGUCAGGAGCUACCCUGGAAUACCUCCUGAAUCCAGCAGAGCUAAUGCAGAUUUACACUAACAUUACUGAGAGGAGAAUUUGGCCAAUUUUGGACAUCAAUGAUUUCUAAACAAUGAGAUACAACAUAUCUCCAACAGGGCUUCAGAACCCCUCAUUAAUGAUUUAUGAAACUUGAAGAGAAAACAGACUGCUGAGCAACAACUUUAUUCUUUGAAAUUUGUGCAAGCUGGUGAUACAUACCUUUUACAUUUAAUAACAAAACUCCUGCCUGGAGCACCUUUUACACUUUAGCUUGUAUGUGCAUUGUGUCAUAGUAUUUUAAUCCAAUUUCUAUCAGAUAACUCUACUGUCUGUAUACAGGAAGAGCUUUUAAAAUGCUUAGUGAAGCUCUGAGUCCCCGAGACUGGAUUUUUAGUUCCCAAGUAGGGCAUUCUCUGCAAUAACUUUCCACCACUGCAUCCAACAUUCUUUGUCUCCUUUGAAAAUCAUGGCUGAUUAAAAGUCUAAUGCAACAGCUGUUUGUGAUCAUAUGAUUGAUUGAUAUGUUUCCUAGACAGAUGCUGAGUAUUAGAUGCAGAAACAUUUUCACAGUGCUCAAGAAAUUUGGAAUUGAUAUUUUUUAAAGUCACAGUAGGACAGAGCUGCUAGACAAUGCAGAUUCUUUACAGACAUAAUUAAGAAUUGCUGUAACUCAAAAGAUUGAUCACACCACUUAAAAAACCCACCCCCAUAGGUGUUUUUUCAGGAGGCAAAAUUAUAAAAUUAUUUUCACUAAUCAGAAAGUACUUUGAAAACUUCUAAGAUUGCGCUAUGCCCAUAGAUUACUACACAAUGUAAUUUCUUUUUGCUGUUUAAUAUCAGAAGUGAACUCCCAUUGUGAAAAAGCUUACUGGUUAGCUCCCAUUAGCUGGACACUAUGAGAACAGCUGCUCCUGGCAAGACCAGGUGGAGCACAAGUAGGGAUGUGGCAGCUAAACAGUUUGCAGUAUAGGAGACAUUAGGUUUUGUAAUUGUCUUUAAGAUAUAAAAAAAUUAUCUUUGUGAUCAAUCAAAGAUUGACUAAUCAAAGGCUGCAUGAUAGCUCCAACCUGGGGAGGCAUCUCAGGGCAGUGAUCCUCAUCCACAGCCCUGCCAUGAACCUGGCACUGAGGGUGAUGCCUGAGAGAGCCUGACCAGCAUCCACUGGGAACACCUCUGUUACUCAGGGCCCUGAGGCCCUGUGCCU